UGGGGAAUUUUGGACAAUGGGCGAAAGCCUGAUCCAGCAAUGCCGCGUGUGUGAAGAAGGCCUUCGGGUUGUAAAGCACUUUUGUCCGGAAAGAAAUGGCUCUGGUUAAUACCUGGGGUCGAUGACGGUACCGGAAGAAUAAGGACCGGCUAACUACGUGCCAGCAGCCGCGGUAAUACGUAGGGUCCAAGCGUUAAUCGGAAUUACUGGGCGUAAAGCGUGCGCAGGCGGUUGUGCAAGACCGAUGUGAAAUCCCCGAGCUUAACUUGGGAAUUGCAUUGGUGACUGCACGGCUAGAGUGUGUCAGAGGGGGGUAGAAUUCCACGUGUAGCAGUGAAAUGCGUAGAGAUGUGGAGGAAUACCGAUGGCGAAGGCAGCCCCCUGGGAUAACACUGACGCUCAUGCACGAAAGCGUGGGGAGCAAACAGGAUUAGAUACCCUGGUAGUCCACGCCCUAAACGAUGUGCAACUAGGUUGUUGGGGGAUUCAUUUCCUUAGUAACGUAG
rnacentral:rRNA from 1 species